rnacentral:rRNA from 1 species
UGCGUAGGCGGAUCAAUAAGUUAGUGGUGAAAUCUCUCGGCUCAACCGGGAAACUGCCAUUGAUACUGUUGAUCUUGAGUUCGGUUGAGGUAGGCGGAAUGUGUAAUGUAGCGGUGAAAUGCUUAGAUAUUACACAGAACACCAAUUGCGUAGGCAGCUUACUAGACCGACACUGACGCUGAGGCACGAAAGCGUGGGGAGCGAACAGGAUUAGAUACCCUGGUAGUCC